rnacentral:tRNA from 1 species
UUCCAGGUGGCUCAGUGGUAAAGAAUCUGCCUGCCAAGCAGAUGCAGGUUCAAUCCCUGGGUUGGAAA